GGUAUCUCACCGCUGCGUCAGUGCAGCAACGAGUCAAAGCAGUGUCACUAAUAUGCAUCAGCUGUCACUGCACCCUUCACCAAUGAAGAAGUAAAGACUUGAGUAGCUUCUAAAGGUCUCAACAAGGGGCAAAGCCAGGCCCACAUCCAGCUCGUCAGCCCAGCACAACAGACACCAGACCGCUCUGCCAUCUCCCUCUCCCCCUGGAAGCAGCGCUAAUUCUGGGGAGAAGGAAAAGAAGAUGAGAAUAAAAAUAGACAUAAAACAUACAGUACUUUGUACUAGAGGAGUGACUAAGGAAAGAAACAAUCCCUUCUUCUCGGAUUGUCUCUGCCUGGAAUGCCAUCCAGCACCUAAUGUGCUACUUUGGCAACCAGAGAAAGCACGCCGCCUCCAAAGCGAGACUCGCCCUGGCCAGACGCCAUAAGGUAGCACCUGACUCAGCACUCACUCAACCCCAGCCCUGAGCUGGCCACUCCCUCUGCUUGGAGCUAUAGAUUUCAUCAGGAUAAAAAUGAAACUUGGACGCUUGAUCUGUGGUUGCCACUCCUGCUGCCACCGUUCCCACCACUGAUGGACCCAGAUUCUGUCCUGGCCACACCCCUGGGAAGGCUGAACUGCCUGAGGCGUGCACGGAAGGUCUGGGCCAACUGCUGUGUGCCCGUGGACUGUGCUGGACCACUGCCAUCCGCACGCGGGCUGCUACCUGGUGCAUCAUCCAUGUGCAUAUUGCAUUGGAUCAUCACAAAACAGCAUCAUCACAAAACACAAAUUCAGAGAUAGACGUGGAUGAAGAAUUUCCAGACAGUCAUAGAAGAACAUAAACCCAAGCACAGAGUCCUCAACCUGGGCCCUUUGUAACUGUGGGCUCUGCCUCGUAGCAACCAUAAUUCCUGGUUUUCCACCCACUAGUCGUUUGGACUGGAGUGGUUAAUGCACUUUUUAUUGCCAA